rnacentral:rRNA from 1 species
GGAGCCGACCUUGAAAUACCACCCUUUAAUGUUUGAUGUUCUAACGUGGACCCGUAAUCCGGGUUGCGGACAGUGUCUGGUGGGUAGUUUGACUGGGGCGGUCUCCUCCUAAAGAGUAACGGAGGAGCACGAAGGUUGGCUAAUCCUGGUCGGACAUCAGGAGGUUAGUGCAAUGGCAUAAGCCAGCUUGACUGCGAGCGUGACGGCGCGAGCAGGUGCGAAAGCAGGUCAUAGUGAUCCGGUGGUUCUGAAUGGAAGGGCCAUCGCUCAACGGAUAAAAGGUACUCCGGGGAUAACAGGCUGAUACCGCCCAAGAGUUCAUAUCGACGGCGGUGUUUGGCACCUCGAUGUCGGCUCAUCACAUCCUGGGGCUGAAGUAGGUCCCAAGGGUAUGGCUGUUCGCCAUUUAAAGUGGUACGCGAGCUGGGUUUAGAACGUCGUGAGACAGUUCGGUCCCUAUCUGCCGUGGGCGCUGGAGAACUGAGGGGGGCUGCUCCUAGUACGAGAGGACCGGAGUGGACGCAUCACUGGUGUUCGGGUUGUCAUGCCAAUGGCACUGCCCGGUAGCUAAAUGCGGAAGAGAUAAGUGCUGAAAGCAUCUAAGCACGAAACUUGCCCCGAGAUGAGUUCUCCCUGAGA